rnacentral:snoRNA from 1 species
UUGCAUGUGGAAAUGCCUGUUUCUCAUUCCCGUGGGGGCAGGAAAACAUAACAUGCUAUGUUAAAAAAAUAAAACAA